AAUACCGGAUGGUCGUCUGAACCGCAUGGUUCAGACAUAAAAGGUGGCUUCGGCUACCACUUACAGAUGGACCCGCGGCGCAUUAGCUAGUUGGUGAGGUAACGGCUCACCAAGGCGACGAUGCGUAGCCGACCUGAGAGGGUGAUCGGCCACACUGGGACUGAGACACGGCCCAGACUCCUACGGGAGGCAGCAGUAGGGAAUCUUCCGCAAUGGACGAAAGUCUGACGGAGCAACGCCGCGUGAGUGAUGAAGGUUUUCGGAUCGUAAAGCUCUGUUGUUAGGGAAGAACAAGUGCCGUUCAAAUAGGGCGGCACCUUGACGGUACCUAACCAGAAAGCCACGGCUAACUACGUGCCAGCAGCCGCGGUAAUACGUAGGUGGCAAGCGUUGUCCGGAAUUAUUGGGCGUAAAGGGCUCGCAGGCGGUUUCUUAAGUCUGAUGUGAAAGCCCCCGGCUCAACCGGGGAGGGUCAUUGGAAACUGGGGAACUUGAGUGCAGAAGAGGAGAGUGGAAUUCCACGUGUAGCGGUGAAAUGCGUAGAGAUGUGGAGGAACACCCAGUGGCGAAGGCGACUCUCUGGUCUGUAACUGACGCUGAGGAGCGAAAGCGUGGGGAGCG
rnacentral:rRNA from 1 species